CUUAGAGGACUGGGAAAGGAAGACAGGAAGCAAGGACUCCUGGAGAUAGUUCAGGCUACAUGUUAGCCUUGCUCUUACAACGCAGGGUUAGAGGUAAUGGAGCUUUUCUCAGAAAGCUAAAAGCAAUACACAGAUGAAGAUCAAACAGUAAAAGAUAAGAUGCUGGUCACUGCUUCUCCUGCUGGUCACCUUAAAGGAGGGAGUUGUAGAUUCUCCGACGAGCACUCAACUUCAAUGGAAGCAGAACAGCAGAUCAUCCCAAAACAGUUUUUAGCAGAUAUUUGAUAAACAGCAGCGUCAUUCUGGGUACAGCUAGGAUGAAGAGCAGACACAGGUCAUGGUCCCUCUGCUGAACAAACCAGCCACCCUGAAGUCACUAUGACUUGUGUGCAAGAAGAGAAAGGAAGAGAAGAAACCAAACCCAAGAGGCACAAAGGACAAGCUUGUGGCUUAAUGGAAGAGAGCUGGAUUUUUGUAUCUGUUUCUGUAUACAAUGUGAUGUAAUAUAUUGCUUGGGUUGAAGUAUGUGGGGAAAAUAUGGCCUCACACAGCCACCAGUGCAAUAGACCUAUCAAAACGGAUAUACUUUUAAAGGAGAAGAAGCUGAAAUUAUUGGCUACAGGACAUACAACGCUGAGAGUGAGCCCUGAUGUAAACCAUGGACUUCGAGGGGUAAUGACAUGUCAGUGGAGGCUCAUUGGUUGUAACACAUGUCCCAACCAUUUCUGGCGGGGUAUGUAGAUAGUGGGAGAGUCUGUGUUAGGGUCAGGAGGCGGUUAUAUAUAGAAACUGCUUUCUGCUCCAUUUCGCUGUGAACUUAACACUGCUCUAAAAAAUAAAGUCUCUUUAAAAGAGGGGGAAGCUAUCAGUACCAGGGCCCCACCAAAACCAAAACAAAACAGAACAAUUAAACCGCAUCUCAGGGCGAAGGGCUUUGCCACUGGUGUUUUUUAAGGCUCCCAGGUGAUUGCAAUGGGAAGUUAGCACUCAGAAAGUGCUGAGAUAAAAGAGCAUCAGCUCCUGUACCGAGUGGAUGGUGGAGGAGGGCUCUCGGCCUGGGCACCUGGGCACGUACCCGGAGUGAUUUCCUGGCUCUCGUUUGGCAGAAAAGUGCUGCUUUUGACAGCGUUUUGAGCCUCUGGGACCAAAUGCAGACCAACCAGACGUUCUCUGCACAAGAAAUGAGCAAAUUGAUUUCAGAAAGGAAAACAUCCCAUGGCCUUACUGCCUUACUGCCAACAGGCUUAGUGUACAGACGCCUGACCCCCUCGCUUAUCAAAGGAAAACUCAGGGGUGGCUGGAAGGAAUCCUUACCCGCCCCACCCAAGAGGCCACCAAGUGUCCCAGAAUGUCUCCAGAAACCUCAAGGGACAUUGUGACACUAGAAAGACUCGUAGAUUAAACUGUAAAUCCAUCUAUGAAAGACAUGGCAUCUUGAGAGCAGGCAGAGAACAAGGCACUGCUGGAUGCUGGCUCAGGGGACCCUGAGCUCUUUCAUAGAAACAAGUUAGCUUAGAAUCCUGAAGGACUAAUACUGUUCAUUUAUUUAAACACCGAGCAUGCUCCAAAACAAACCUUGAUUUUCCCAUCCAAACCUGCUUCUCGUCUCAAAACAAACUGCAAAUCCAUUCUACCAACUGCUCAGGCCACACAUCUUGGAGUCCAUCCUCCACGCCCCUCCAGCAUCCAGUCCAAGAGCAAUAUACCCAGGACUGUCAGACGGAUCCAGAACCUGACGGCUUCCUGCCACCUUCCAGAAGCACCGUGGACUGGGACCCUUCAUCUCUUGUCUGAAUUACCUCCACUGUGCCCUGUCUCCUCUAUAGGCAUAACAUUCACAACCCAGCAGCCAGCAGCAUCCUUUUAAAACCACGCCAGAAAAAAAUCAUCGCUCUGUUUAGAAACCCUCCUGCAUGCCUGCAUCUCCUUCAAAGUAGGAUCCAAAGGACUCACAGCUUGUGGCCUCCAAGACCCAACAGUCUUGUCUCUGGGAUUCAUCUUCCACGACAGCGCCCUCCCUCGACCCUCUCCAGCCCCAGGGCCCUCGCAUGCUCCCACCUCAGGGCUCCCUUCUGCCCUGGCUACUCCGUCCGAUGAGAAAGCUCUUCCCCAGGUGCCAAUCCCUUCCCUCUCCCACUCCUCCCCAUCUCACCCCUGCUGCCAGCACCGCAUCAGAGAGCCCUGCCCUCCUUCCCCUCUUUGCCACCAGGCCCUGUACUGGUUUGUGGGUCUAACGUGUGACUCCACCUCUCACCCCUCGUCCACAAGAUCGAGGACUUGACUGGGCUGCUGCUACUUUGGGUUUAAAGCCACUGCAGCAGGAGUUAAACAGAGUCAACUGGCUUCCUAGGGGAAAAAAAACCACAAAGAAGCAAUUUGACCGGACAUUUGAAUAGACAGUGGAAACUGCGAUUACAUGCCUGUCUACUGCUCUAUCAGUUGAUUUCAAACCUUCAGAAAUAGAAGUUGGAGUAGUUACAGUUGGAAAUCCUAAAUUCAAGAUUCUUAGAAAAGCAGAGAUUGACGCUAAACCUUGUUACUCCAGCAGGGAGAGACUAACCACUGCCGUGAACUUACCAAAGGAUGCUACUUGCCAGUGUGUCUGGUAACAACAGACCAGCAUUAUGGGGGCCCUGGGACUGAAAAAGGAACCUCUCUUACUCCUCCUGCCACUGAAGCGAUUACAACUCUGUUUAAAUAAAACUAGUCCUUUUGGAAAAUGAAAAAACAACCCAAAACAAACAA